rnacentral:piRNA from 1 species
AUUGUGUAAAUUGUGCUGC